rnacentral:rRNA from 1 species
UGGGGAAUUUUGGACAAUGGGCGAAAGCCUGAUCCAGCAAUGCCGCGUGUGUGAAGAAGGCCUUCGGGUUGUAAAGCACUUUUGUCCGGAAAGAAAUCCUUGGCUCUAAUACAGUCGGGGGAUGACGGUACCGGAAGAAUAAGCACCGGCUAACUACGUGCCAGCAGCCGCGGUAAUACGUAGGGUGCAAGCGUUAAUCGGAAUUACUGGGCGUAAAGCGUGCGCAGGCGGUUUGCUAAGACCGAUGUGAAAUCCCCGGGCUCAACCUGGGAACUGCAUUGGUGACUGGCAGGCUAGAGUAUGGCAGAGGGGGGUAGAAUUCCACGUGUAGCAGUGAAAUGCGUAGAGAUGUGGAGGAAUACCGAUGGCGAAGGCAGCCCCCUGGGCCAAUACUGACGCUCAUGCACGAAAGCGUGGGGGAGCAAAACAGGAUUAGAUACCCUGGUAGUCCACGCCCUAAACGAUGUCAACUAGUUGUUGGGGAUUCAUUUCCUUAGUAACGUAGCUAACGCGUGAAGUUGACCGCCUGGGGAGUACGGUCGCAAGAUUAAAAACUCAAAUGAAUUGAC